GACGAACGCUGGCGGCGUGCUUAACACAUGCAAGUCGAACGGAAAGGCCCUGCUUUUGUGGGGUGCUCGAGUGGCGAACGGGUGAGUAACACGUGAGUAACCUGCCCUUGACUUUGGGAUAACUUCAGGAAACUGGGGCUAAUACCGGAUAGGAGCUCCUGCUGCAUGGUGGGGGUUGGAAAGUUUCGGCGGUUGGGGAUGGACUCGCGGCUUAUCAGCUUGUUGGUGGGGUAGUGGCUUACCAAGGCUUUGACGGGUAGCCGGCCUGAGAGGGUGACCGGCCACAUUGGGACUGAGAUACGGCCCAGACUCCUACGGGAGGCAGCAGUGGGGAAUAUUGCACAAUGGGCGGAAGCCUGAUGCAGCAACACCGCGUGCGGGAUGACGGCCUUCGGGUUGUAAACCGCUUUCGCCUGUGACGAAACGUGAGUGACGGUAAUGGGUAAAGAAGCACCGGCUAACUACGU
rnacentral:rRNA from 1 species